rnacentral:rRNA from 1 species
UACGGAGGGUGCAAGCGUUAUCCGGAUUUACUGGGUUUAAAGGGUGCGUAGGUGGGUAGGAAAGUCAGUGGUGAAAUCUCCGUGCUUAACACGGAAACUGCCAUUGAUACUAUGUUUCUUGAAUUUUCCGGAGGUCAGCGGAAUAUGUCAUGUAGCGGUGAAAUGCUUAGAUAUGACAUAGAACACCAAUUGCGAAGGCAGCUGACUACAGGGAUAUUGACACUGAGGCACGAAAGCGUGGGGAUCAAACAGG